GCCAGGUGAGAUGAUGUGAGCCUGUAGUCCCAGCUACUUGGGAGGCUGAAGCAGGAGGAUUGCUUGAGGCCCAUCCUAGGCUGUAGUGCGCUAUGCAGAUCGGGCGUCCACACUAAGUUCAGCAUCAAUAUAGUGACCUCCCAAGAGUGGGGGACCACCAGGUUGCCUAAGGUGGGGUGAACCAGCCCAGGGUGGAAAUGGAGGAGGUCAAAACUCCCAUGCUGAUCAGUAGUGGGAUCACGCCUGUGAAUAGCCACUGCACUCCCGCCUGGGCAACAUAGAAAGACCCCGUCUC
ensembl:misc_RNA Metazoa_SRP Metazoan signal recognition particle RNA